AGUGGAUGCACGAGGGGUUUUGAUCUCCUUGGGGUAGGUUCAAGUCCUAUUUUUUUA
rnacentral:tRNA from 1 species